CAGGGGUCAUCCAAGGAGAGAAGGUGGAUCAGCACCCUUCUACCCUGAGGGUCCAGGAGGGAGACAGCGCUGUUAUCAACUGUACUUAUUCAGACACUGCUUCAUCCUACUUCCCUUGGUAUAAGCAAGAAGUUGGAAAAGGUCCCCAGCAUAUUAUAGACAUCCGUUCAAAUAAGGAGAUAAAUCAAAUGCAAAGAUUCAUUGUUGUGUUGGAUAAGAAAGCCAAACAUUUCUCCCUGAACAUCACAGCUACCGAGCCUGGAGACUCAGCUGUCUACUUCUCUGGAGCCAGUGCACGAUGCUUCCCAGACACCUGCAGCCUGUACUCAAACCUGACACUGGGCUGAGCCCCACCUGCUUCCGUUUUUUGCAAAGACCUUCCAGUAUUGCAUUUUCCAUAUUGUUUUUUUUUGUAAGUGGAAACUAGCAUAUAGGCAUACAAAGUAUAUAAUACAUACAGUGGGUUCAAGAUGACCCAGAGAGGGUCAGAACAUUUUAUUAGGUGAUUGUUGUUUGACAGAUUCUUAUGUUUUCUAUGUUUAUUGUACAUAUUUAGAGUAUAUAAUGUGAUGUUUUGAUAUAUACAUACAUAGUGAAAAUGAACAUCUAGGUGAAGUGAUGUGAGAUGAAGAGGGAAAGGUGUGGCACAGAACUUCAUGCCUACUCUGGGCUCUUCAUGCCCAGGCACCCUCACAUCUUCAUCAAUCCUAAAGCUGCACGUAAUGGAUUCUUCCAGGGAACUAAGGAUGCUUUGUUUCGCAAGCCAAGUUUUAAAGAUGAAUUAACAUUUGCUAUUUGAUUCCUCUCCUAUAAUAUCCCUUUAGUAUCAGUUUCACAAUCCUUGUCAGAUAUGGGCUACUCUUUAGAAAAUUAUAUUUGUUAUUUUUCUGAUUAGUAAACACUACAUGUUAAGCAUAGAAAAUAUAUGAAAUAUAAUAUAUG
rnacentral:lncRNA from 1 species